GACGAACGCUGGCGGCGUGCUUAACACAUGCAAGUCGAACGAAGUGGCGAACGGGCGAGUAACGCGUAAUCAACCUGCCCUUCAGAGGGGGACAACAGUUGGAAACGACUGCUAAUACCUCAUACUGAAGGUGUGAAUUGCGUGUGCUUGGCUCGUGGGAGGGGUAACGGCCCAACAAGGCGCUGAUAAGGAGCCGGGCUGAGAGGAUGAACGGCCACAUUGGGACUGAGGCACUGCCCAGACUCCUACGGGAGGCAGCAGUGGGGAAUCUUCCGCAAUGGACGAAAGUCUGACGGAGCAAAGCCGCGGGAGGGAUGACGGCCUUCGGGUUGGAAAGCGUGGUUAAUCGGGACGCGGUACCGGAAUAGAAAGCCACGGCUAACUACGUGCCAGCAGCCGCGGUAAUAC
rnacentral:rRNA from 1 species